rnacentral:rRNA from 1 species
CUACGGGACGCUGCAGUGAGGAGUUUUGCGCAAUGGGGGAAACCCUGACGCAGCAACGCCGCGUGAGCGAAGAAGGCCUUCGGGUCGUAAAGCUCUGUCAAGUGGGAAAAACGUUUUCCGGUCAAUAGCCGGGAGAUCUGAUGGUACCGCUGAAGGAAGCACCGGCUAACUCCGUGCCAGCAGCCGCGGUAAUACGGAGGGUGCAAGCGGUGUUCGGAAUUAUUGGGCGUAAAGAGCGUGUAGGCGGUUUGGUAAGUCAGAUGUGAAAGCCCUGGGCUCAACCUGGGAAGUGCAUUUGAAACUGCUUUACUUGAGUAUGGGAGAGGAGAGUGGAAUUCCUGGUGUAGAGGUGAAAUUCGUAGAUAUCAGGAGGAACAUCUGUGGCGAAGGCGACUCUCUGGACCAAUACUGACGCUGAGACGCGAAAGCGUGGGUAGCAAACAGGAUUAGAUACCCCUGUAGUC